AGAGUUUGAUCCUGGCUCAGGACGAACGCUGGCGGCGCGCCUAACACAUGCAAGUCGAACGAGAGAUGAGGAGCUUGCUCUUCAGAUCGAGUGGCGAACGGGUGAGUAACGCGUGAGGAACCUGCCUCAAAGAGGGGGACAACAGUUGGAAACGACUGCUAAUACCGCAUAAGCCCACGGCUCGGCAUCGAGCAGAGGGAAAAGGAGCAAUCCGCUUUGAGAUGGCCUCGCGUCCGAUUAGCUAGUUGGUGAGGUAACGGCCCACCAAGGCGACGAUCGGUAGCCGGACUGAGAGGUUGAACGGCCACAUUGGGACUGAGACACGGCCCAGACUCCUACGGGAGGCAGCAGUGGGGAAUAUUGCACAAUGGGGGAAACCCUGAUGCAGCGACGCCGCGUGGAGGAAGAAGGUCUUCGGAUUGUAAACUCCUGUUGUUGAGGAAGAUAAUGACGGUACUCAACAAGGAAGUGACGGCUAACUACGUGCCAGCAGCCGCGGUAAAACGUAGGUCACAAGCGUUGUCCGGAAUUACUGGGUGUAAAGGGAGCGCAGGCGGGAGAACAAGUUGGAAGUGAAAUCCAUGGGCUCAACCCAUGAACUGCUUUCAAAACUGUUUUUCUUGAGUAGUGCAGAGGUAGGCGGAAUUCCCGGUGUAGCGGUGGAAUGCGUAGAUAUCGGGAGGAACACCAGUGGCGAAGGCGGCCUACUGGGCACCAACUGACGCUGAGGCUCGAAAGUGUGGGUAGCAAACAGGAUUAGAUACCCUGGUAGUCCACACCGUAAACGAUGAUUACUAGGUGUUGGAGGAUUGACCCCUUCAGUGCCGCAGUUAACACAAUAAGUAAUCCACCUGGGGAGUACGACCGCAAGGUUGAAACUCAAAGGAAUUGACGGGGGCCCGCAC
rnacentral:rRNA from 1 species